GUUCAGGCUUUGAUAAAGAACAGUAAUCAUGUUGAAGGAAUGUAGAGAGUGUGUUCACCGGCUGAAAGACACACUUCCCGCUCACAGGAUGAACCUACUUUUGAGCCGCCAUGCAAACAUGGCCGUGCCUUCGCGAUAAGAAGGAACAAGUUGUGUUCCAUGUGGGGCAAAACAAGGUGGUACCGCGGAAACAUGCGUUUUCGUCCUUUCA
rnacentral:ncRNA from 1 species